AUCCAUGAGUAACGCAGCUAACGCGUGAAGUAGACCGCCUGGGGAGUACGGUCGCAAGAUUAAAACUCAAAUGAAUUGACGGGGGCCCGCACAAGCGGUGGAUUAUGUGGAUUAAUUCGAUGCAACGCGAAAAACCUUACCUGGCCUUGACAUGUACGGAACUUUCCAGAGAUGGAUUGGUGCUCGAAAGAGAACCGUAACACAGGUGCUGCAUGGCUGUCGUCAGCUCGUGUCGUGAGAUGUUGGGUUAAGUCCCGCAACGAGCGCAACCCUUGCCAAUAAUUGCCAUCAUUUAGUUGGGCACUUUAUUGGGACUGCCGAUGACAAAUCGGAGGAAGGUGGGGAUGACGUCAAGUCCUCAUGGCCCUUAUGGCCAGGGCUUCACACGUAAUACAAUGGUCGGUACAGAGGGUUGCCAAGCCGCAAGGUGGAGCCAAUCCCAGAAAGCCGAUCGUAGUCCGGAUUGAGGUCUGCAACUCGACCUCAUGAAGUCGGAAUCGCUAGUAAUCGCGGAUCAGCAUGUCGCGG
rnacentral:rRNA from 1 species